rnacentral:rRNA from 1 species
UACGUAGGUGGCAAGCGUUGUCCGGAAUUAUUGGGCGUAAAGCGCGCGCAGGCGGUCCUUUAAGUCUGAUGUGAAAGCCCACGGCUCAACCGUGGAGGGUCAUUGGAAACUGGGGGACUUGAGUGCAGGAGAGAAGAGUGGAAUUCCACGUGUAGCGGUGAAAUGCGUAGAGAUGUGGAGGAACACCAGUGGCGAAGGCGACUCUCUGGGACGGUACUGACGCUGAGACGCGAAAGCGUGGGGAGCGAACAGG